UCGUGCGUGACUGGGGUACCCACGUGUUCCUAACAAUCAUCGCGAUUUCGGACCUUUUUCUGUGCCAAUUUACAUAGUUAAUACCUGUUAUUUGUUGUUAUUGUGGUGGUGGUAACUGGUGUUAACCUUGUAAAUAUUUUUAAAUCCCCACCGUAAAAACAGCAAUUAACAUAGUGUGUACCUUACCACAAUCGUUUUUGGCCGAAUUUGCUGUGUUAGUCACACACGGCAUACAGCCACAAACAAAGAUUGA